rnacentral:rRNA from 1 species
GACGAACGCUGGCGGCGUGCUUAACACAUGCCAGUCGAACGGAAAGGCCCUUCGGGGUACUCGAGUGGCGAACGGGUGAGUAACACGUGGGUGAUCUGCCCUGCACUUUGGGAUAAGCCUGGGAAACUGGGUCUAAUACCGAAUAGGACCACGCGCUUCAUGGUGUGUGGUGGAAAGCUUUUGCGGUGUGGGAUGGGCCCGCGGCCUAUCAGCUUGUUGGUGGGGUAAUGGCCUACCAAGGCGACGACGGGUAGCCGGCCUGGGAGGGUGACCGGCCACACUGGGACUGAGAUACGGCCCAGACUCCUACGGGAGGCAGCAGUGGGGAAUAUUGCACAAUGGGCGCAAGCCUGAUGCAGCGACGCCGCGUGAGGGAUGACGGCCUUCGGGUUGUAAACCUCUUUCAAUAGGGACGAAGCGCAAGUGACGGUACCUAUAGAAGAAGCACCGGCCAACUACGUG